UAAAAUUAUUUGAUGUUUGUACGGAUAUCAAAUAAAAAGUCGAAAAUUCAUUAAUAUCAGCCUCGAACGCGAACAUCCACAGCUUUGUCUAAGUAUUCAUCAUUCAACCGUUCGUCUUCUUCUUCCAAAUGCCCAGUUAAGUCUGGUGGAAUUUGCUGCAUCUGAACGCUUGGCGCUCCUCCUAAGUAACGUAAUUGCUCCAAGGCCCGUAUUCGAAGAUCUUCAAGAGCUUUCGGUGUAUUUUUAUUUUCUAUCUUCGUGGUUAAUCGCGGAUGGAGGGUGUAAUCUGGUGCGAAAAAUUCGUAAUACAAAGUUUCACGAGGUAAUUCUGAAGGUAUUUGUUCGUUUACACAUAUGGAAGUUUCAUAACACCACGCUCUAGCAACAUUUCUAAGAGUAUAACCACCACCUCCAACUACAAGCAUGGGUAUAUUGAAUGAACGGGUAAAUCUAACACAUUCCCCAUGUGCAUGGAUGCUCAGAUUGAACACGCCGAGCCGAUCAUAACCAAGCGAAUCAGCACCACACUGAAGGACAAUUGCAGAAGGUUGAAAAGUAUUGAUAGUUGGUUCAAUUAUGGAUUUGAAAAGACUAGUGUACUGUUCAUCACCAAUACCAUCUUCCAAAGGAACGUUUAAAGCAAAAUAUUUCCCUCCUUUCACGCCAUUUUCAUCAAAAUUACCAGUUGCAGGAAAAAAAUCACCAUUAUACUUGUGAAAAGAAACCGUCAACACGCGGUCAGAUUCAUAGAAUGCUUGCUGCACACCAUCUCCAUGAUGAAUAUCGAUAUCGAUAUACAAAACGCGAGGAAAAAACCGUAGCAUGUUCAAAAUUGCUAGAACAAUAUCAUUAACAUAGCAGAAUCCACUAGCCUCACCACGCUUUGCAUGAUGGAGACCACCGCUCCAAUUGAUAGCAAUGUCUGUUUGACCUUGCACUAACUUCCGAGAAGCAUCCAAACUAGCGCCUGCCGACCUUUGAGAAAAUUCAUAAGUGCCGUCAAAGACCGGACAGUCAUCACCAAUAUUGAAUUGUUGGAACUUAUCAGCAAAUUGUUCAGCAUUAUCAGGAGUAACGCGCUUAAGGAAAUCCAAAUAAUCCUCCCUAUGAAAUUCUGACAUUUCACCAAAAGUUGCCAUCCGGGGGCUGAAUACACUCAUUUUGUUAUGCAACCCAUAACCCAUCACUAAAUGAUUUGUAAUGGUAAUUCGAUGGGGCUUCAUUGGAUGUUUGUCACCAUAGUGGUAGUUUCCCACCUGUUCAUCUAAGUGAUAUGUGACACGCUUUUUUUGAGGUCGAAAGCUAAAAAAAGACCCCUUUUCAACUUGUUCAUAAGGUGUGGAUGUCUCAGGAGUAUCCAUGAUAUACAGACUAUUAUACUAAAAAAAACCGCGAGACAAAUUAAAUGAAAAUAUCUUUUCUAAAGAAA